rnacentral:rRNA from 1 species
CUACGUGCCAGCAGCCGCGGUAAUACGUAGGGGGCAAGCGUUAUCCGGAUUCAUUGGGCGUAAAGCGCUCGUAGGCGGUCUGUUAGGUCGGGAGUUAAAUCCGGGGGCUCAACCCCCGUUCGCUCCCGAUACCGGCAGACUUGAGUUUGGUAGGGGAAGGUGGAAUUCCUAGUGUAGCGGUGGAAUGCGCAGAUAUUAGGAAGAACACCAGUGGCGAAGGCGGCCUUCUGGGCCAUAACUGACGCUGAGGAGCGAAAGCUAGGGGAGCAAACAGGAUUAGAUACCCUGGUAGUCCUAGCCGUAAACGAUGGGUACUAGGUGUAGGAGGUAUCGACCCCUUCUGUGCCGGAGUUAACGCAAUAAGUACCCCGCCUGGGGAGUACGACCGCAAGGUUGAAACUCAAAGGAAUUGACGGGGGCCCGCACAAGCGGUGGAGUAUGUGGUUUAAUUCGACGCAACGCGAAGAACCUUACCAGGUCUUGACAUUGAUGGACAGAACUAGAGAUAG